rnacentral:lncRNA from 10 species
CAGCUCCCGGGGCGCCGCGCCUCGCUCUGCGGGUCACUUUCCUGCGGCGCCCAGGACGCUGAACCCGCCUCGCUUCUAAUCCCCGCCGGGGCAGCCCUCCGGGUCUCCCGCGCCCUCCUUUCCACGUUCCCCCGCGCGUUCCAGGAGACCGCGCCUCUCUCCACUCCUGCCCUCCGAUCCUCUGCUCUCUCCCUCCUCUCUCUCUGCUACAAUUCUAAGAACGCAGCUCACUCCUGAAACUUUUCCUUCCGUCUCCACUUUAGCAAGAUCCUGGGAGCAGGAGGAGAAGGGAGUGCCCAGAGCUGUGACCUGGAGCCGAGGUCCCCCUGGGGAGUCCUAACAGAACAAAGGCCAUCGCGGGGACUGUGGCAGUGGUUACCAGAUGAAAUGAGUGACCCCUUUUAAAGCUACAGAGGCCGUAACAGUCCUUCGCCCUCUCUGGUCAUUCAAGAGCCUUCUGAAUAGGGCUCCAAAAAUCAACUUCAGCCUUGGACCAGAGAACAUGUGCCAGAACAAGCCUGUCUCCAGGGGACUGCUCCGUCACAGCUGUCAGACGAUUCCAGUGCAUUCAGUGUGAUAAAAUGGAAGGCUUACCCCCGCCCCCAAUUUUGUCCUUGGGUGGCUGUGUAAACGCGUUCCCUGUCCACAUUUCGCCAGGAGGGCUAUUUGCUGUAUUAAUAAUGGGGUUAAUGAAGACACGCCGUCAUACGUUGCUUUACCAGAGGGGUGCGCUCUGAGAAAUGAGGGGUACUCUCUGAGAAAUGUGUCCUUAGGCGAUUGUGUGGCUGUGCGAGCAACAUAGGGUGCACGGACUUACACAGAGCUCAGUGGUGUAGCCUACUCCACACCUAGGACAUGUGCUACAGGCGGGGCGCGGUGGCUCACAUCUGUAAUCCCAGCACUUUGGGUGGCCAAAGCGGGGGGAUCUCCUGAGCUCAGGAGUUCGAGACCAGCCUGGGCAACGUGGCGAGACCCCGUCUCUACCAAAAAUACAAAAAAAUUAACUGGGUGUGGUGGCACGACCUGUGGUCCCAGCUACUCAGGAGGCUGAGGUGGGAGAAUCACUUGAACCCUGGAGGCGGAGGUUGCAGUGAAUCGAAAUCCGAGAUUGCGCCACCGCACUCCAGCCCCGGUGACAGGAGGCCCCUGCCACACACACACACACACACACACGACAUAUGGUACAUAACCUAUUGCUCUUAGGCUACAAACCUGUAAAGCAUGUUCGUGUGACAAAUGCCAUAGGCAAUUAUCACACAAUGGUUUCUUCUACAUUUUCAGGAAUCUUUACAGAAGUGCCCCACUGUACCGAUACCAAUUUACUGUAUUAGUUCCUUCUCACAGCUGCUAUGAAGAAAUACCCAAGACUGGAUAAGUUAUAAAGAAAAGAGACUUAAAAGAGGUUUAAUUGGCUCACAGUUCCACAUGGCUGGGGAGGCCUCAAGAAACUUAUAGUUACGGCAGAAGGCACCUCUUCAAAGGGCGGCAGGAGAGAGAAUGAGGGCGGAGGAAAUGAGGAGGCCCCUUGUAAAACUAUGAGAUUUUGUGUGAACUCACUAUCAUGAGAAAGCCAUGGCAGAAACCACCCCCAUGAUUCAAUUAUCUCCACCUUGUCCUUUGACACGCCGGGAUUAUUACAAUUCAAGGUGAGAUUUGGGUGGGGACACAAAGCCAAACCAUAUGACAAAUGCACUUGAAGAAAAUGCACAUUCUGCUGUUUAUAGCUGGAGUUACUAUAAGUGUUAAUUAUGUUGAUGGUUGAUAGAGUUAUUAAAGUCUUUUAUAUACCUAUUGUCGAUUUUAUCAAUUAGAAAUGAAAAUGGGGUGUUGAAAUCUCCAGCUGUAAUUGUGAAUUUUUAUAUUCUUCCUUGUAAUGCUAUCAGUUUUUACUUUUGUAUUGAAAAUUUCCCUUUUCAUUCCAUAAAUAUUUUAAAUUGUUACAUACUUCCUUUGUAAAUUUUAAAUUUAAUAUUUAAUUUUGUGGAUACAUAGGUGUAUAUAUUUAUGGGGUACAUGAGUUACUUUGAUACAGGCAUGCAAUGUGUAAUAAUCACAUCAUGAAAAUAGGGUAUUCAUCCCUUCAAGCAUUGAUCAUUUAUGUUACAAACAAUCCUAUUAUACUUUUUAAGUUAUUUUAAAAUGUACAAUUAAAUUAUUACUGACUUUAGUCACCUUAUUGUUCUAUCAAAUACUAGAUCUUAUUCAUUCUUUCUAAUUAUUGUUUUGUACACAUUAACCACCUCCUCACAACUUGCCUACUAUCUUUCCCAGCCUCUUGUAAUCACCCUUCUACUCUCUAUCUGCAUGAGUUCAGUUGUUUUGGUUUUUAG